UUGUAGAGUGUUAAUAAAGUUGUGUUUGUACAUUGUUAAUAAAGUUGUGUGUUUGUACAGUGUUAAUAAAGUUGUGUGUUUGUACAGUGUUAAUAAAGUUGUGUUUGUACAUUGUUAAUAAAGUUGUGUGUUUGUACAGUGAUAAUAAAGUUGUGUGUUUUUACAGUGUUAAUAAAGUUUUGUGUUUGUACAGUGUUAAUAAAGUUGUGUUUGUACAGUGUUAAUAAAGUUGUGUGUUUGUACAGUGUUAAUAAAGUUGUGUGUUUGUACAGUGUUAAUAAAGUUGUGUUUGUACAGUGUUAAUAAAGUUGUGUGUUUGUACAGUGUUAAUAAAGUUGUGUGUCUGUACAGUGUUAAUAAAGUUGUGUGUCUGUACAGUGUUAAUAAAGUUUUGUGUCUGUACAGUGUUAAUAAAGUUGUGUGUUUGUACAGUGUUAAUAAAGUUGUGUUUGUACAGUGUUAAUAAAGUUGUGUGUUUGUACAGUGUUAAUAAAGUUGUGUGUUUGUACAGUGUUAAUAAAGUUGUGUGUUUGUACAGUGAUAAUAAAGUUGUGUGUUUGUACAGUGUUAAUAAAGUUGUGUUUGUACAGUGUUAAUAAAGUUGUGUGUUUGUACAGUGUUAAUAAAGUUGUGUGUUUGUACAGUGUUAAUAAAGUUGUGUGUUUGUACAGUGUUAAUAAAGUUGUGUGUUUGUACAGUGUUAAUAAAGUUGUGUUUGUACAGUGUUAAUAAAGUUGUGUCUGUACAGUGUUAA